AGACGUAGGGGGCUAGCGUUGCCCGGAUUCACUGGGCGUAAAGCGCGCGUAGGCGGUUCGGCAAGUCGCCCGUGAAAGCCCCUGGCUCAACUGGGGGAGGUCGGGCGAUACUGCCGGGCUAGAGGGCGGCAGAGGGAGGUGGAACGGCCGGAGUAGCGGUGAAAUGCGUAGAUACCGGCCGGAAUCCCGAUGGCGAAGGCAACCUCCUGGGCCGUUCCUGACGCUGAGGCGCGAAAGCUGGGGGAGCGAACCGGAGUAGAAACCCUAGUAGUCC
rnacentral:rRNA from 1 species